UAAUAUCCAAGUCAGAGAUUGCUGUCUCUCCGUCUCUCCGUCAGUAUAUGAUGAAGCCUUGGGUUUUCCCUGGACAUGUUACAAUUGCAAUGUGUAAACGCAAGAGCAUGAGAACAGUUGCUGCAGGAAGGAAUUUGUGUCUCGUGACUUUGGAAGGAACUUUGAAUCUUGUAACGAGAACUGUCUUGUACUAUGAAGAAGAACAUGGAAUAGGAAACCAUCCCUUAUAUGAACUGGCCAAUGAGGGUUCCCUGCUAAGCACAGGGGGCGUGUAAUAAGGGGGCUGGGAUGAAUGAAUUAUAUGGGUUGACCAAUGAGAAUACAUUUUGUGAUCGUGUGCUGAUAAUAAAGGCAACUGCCCAGACGGCAGCCAUUCUCUCUGCUGUUGAAACGUUG